UUUUUUUUUUUUUUCUGGUUAAUAUUAUAGAAGCAUAGAGGUUACUGAUGAGGAAAAUUUAAUUUUGCUGAUGACAGAUUUUCUUCUUCUAUAUGCUAGUAAUAACCUUGAUUGGCUGUUGAAUAUUUUUUGUUUUGGCUAAUUCAGAUUUUUCUUAAAAAAAUUUUUGCUCAUUAUUUCUCAUCUCUCUUUGCUUUAUGUGGUUAACUGUAGGGACAUACUAAGGCAAUCCACU
rnacentral:misc_RNA from 1 species